AGCGAACGCUGGCGGCAGGCCUAACACAUGCAAGUCGAGCGCCGUAGCAAUAAGGAGCGGCAGACGGGAGAGUAACACGUGGGAACGUACCCUUCGGUUCGGAACAACCCAGGGAAACUUGGGCUAAUACCGGAUACGUCCGAAAGGAGAAAGAUUUAUCGCCAAAGGAGCGGCCCGCGUCUGAUUAGCUAGUUGGUGAGGUAAUGGCUCACCAAGGCGACGAUCAGUAGCUGGUCUGAGAGGAUGAUCAGCCUCACUGGGACUGAGACACGGCCCAGACUCCUACGGGAGGCAGCAGUGGGGAAUAUUGGACAAUGGGCGCAAGCCUGAUCCAGCCAUGCCGCGUGGGUGAUGAAGGCCCUAGGGUUGUAAAGCCCUUUCGGCGGGGAAGAUAAUGACGGUACCCGCAGAAGAAGCCCCGGCUAACUUCGUGCCAGCCGCCGCAGUAACAC
rnacentral:rRNA from 1 species